ACCGUUUGAAAAGUAAUUUCUUCAUAUUCACGCUUCCGUUCACCUCCUCCAACGCUUCCCUACUUUCUCAAUACACUACUACCUCCAUCACCCCUCUCUACCCAGCAACCCGAUAUACCAACGUUUGCCCAUUCCGCCACCGCUCCUCUGUAAUUGAUCAAUUGAUGGGUUUCUUUGCAGAUAAGAAGCAUAACUGUUGAUUCAUAUUGAUGCCCUAACUCCAUAUCAUCGGUUUUGUAUGAACUGUUUGCUCCCCACAUUCUAAUUUAGGUUUCGAUAACUGAUAAUCCAUCUGGUUCUAUCAUUGGAUUAACAAGCAACUUUGAAGGAUAUUAUCUGAUUCACUUUCAUUCAGGGCAAUAACGGAGGUAAAUGGGAGAAGCUGACGGCAUACAACCUUUGCAACUACGUAGCAGGUGAUUAAUCUCAUCUUUCAGACUCCCUCUUCUGGCUUUCCGGAUAGACCACCACCUCUCCACCGAUUCCAUCAAAUCAUCAAUGGUUGUGGUACCCCCCCCCCCCCCCCCCCCCCCCCCCCCCCCCCCCCCCCUUCUCUCUUCUCUAAAAUCUAAUAGCUCAUGACCACCUCAAUGCUUUUCCCCUGAUUUCAUCAAUGUUAGUUUUGACUUUUCUAUUAUUCUCUCUCUCUCUCUCUCUCCUCUCUCUCUCUCUCUCUCUCUCUCUCUUUUAUUAUUAUCGAUUCUCAACUUUUUCUCAGGUUGAUUAUUUUUAUUUCAGUUCUGUUAUAUCUGCUUUAAAGUGAUAAGUUUAUUUGUUGAUUUUUAUUUGUUGUUAUUUUGUAAGUUUAUAUGAUUGUUUUGUUAUCGUUUACAACAACAAUGCAUUCACUUACUUGAUCGGCUACUGGAUUUAUGGUCUCUGAUUGCUGAAAUGCUGGUUGACAUGAAAAUAUAGCUAAUUUUGAAGAUGUCGAAUUAACUCUCGGCUGGUUAGGGGAAUGUGGUGGGUUCAUUUAGGGCAUCAUGGAGUAAAACAUAACUGUUUUUUAUGCCUACGGCCCUGUCAACAAUCAAAACAAAGUCGGAUUAGCCCACAUCAUUAGAGAUUUCAAAUAUUGUCAAGUUCAUUUUUUUGUUGACCACCCACAAAUUUCCAACAAUUAUUGUUGAUUCUGUUCAAUGAGAAUUUCAUUUUUUGUCAUCGCUUUCUUCAGCCAAGUUUAUAUGCACUAACCCCAUAAAGAGCAGAAAAGCCUACUAGGGUGGUCAUGGAUGAUUCCAAGAUUAACCAACUAGGUCUUCAUUGGGAGCUACUAAUCCGAUACUUCAAUCCUCCAUAAUCCCAUCUCUGGAUUUCUUCAAAACAUUUCUCCAAAGGGUCUUUAUUUUCGAGUUGAAUCGCUACACAAGGUUGUUGCUUUUAGAUGAGCAAUAUUUGCUUUCCUCCUCAUCAGAUGUUGAUGAUCUUCAUCUCUUUGGUGAUGAGAUAGAAGAGUAAAUGAUGACAACUGAAGAGGAGGAUAAAGCAAACGACUAUAAAGAAGAAAGAGAGUUUGUUUGUUCUUUUCUUGGUUCAAUGCAUGAGUUUUUCUUUUUAAGUAUGCAUUUGGUAGCAAACUAAUGCAAAGAGAUGCCCAAAUGGCCUUAUAAUGCAAAUCGAAUUAACAUGAAUCCAUAUAAGCUUGUUCCAUCCCAUCCCUUGUAACAAAUUGAGCCUUGAGAUCUUUAUUUAGGAACGCAUUUCGCUAGGCCAAUUACAAAUAUACUCCUUUUGUUGUAGCGUUUGUUUUGGAUAUUGUGGUUUCAUUUUUAUUUGGGUUUGACCCUUAGUUUUAGGUGAUGAACCCAUGCAAAAUUUACUUUUUUGGCUCUCA